GUAACAAGGUUUCCGUAGGUGAACCUGCGGAAGGAUCAUUAACGCGCCGUGGGGGGUCGGACCCCGAAACCCGGGGAACCCCGGCCCCCUCACCUGGCCACCCUUGUCUAUCUUACCUGUUGCUUCGGCGGGCCUGCAGCGAUGCUGCCGGGGGAGCCUUGCUCCCCGGGCCCGUGCCCGCCGAGGACACCGCUAGAACCUCCGGUGAACGAUUGACGUCUGAGAUGAUAACUAUAAUCAGUCAAAACUUUCAACAACGGAUCUCUUGGUUCCGACAUCGAUGAAGAACGCAGCGAAAUGCGAUAAGUAAUGUGAAUUGCAGAAUUCCGUGAGUCAUCGAAUCUUUGAACGCACAUUGCGCCCUCUGGUAUUCCGGGGGGCAUGCCUGUCCGAGCGUCAUUGCAACCCUCAAGCGCGGCUUGUGUGUUGGGCCCUCGUCCCGCCCGUGGACGUGCCCGAAAUGCAGCGGCGGCGUCGUGUUCCGGUGCCCGAGCGUAUGGGGCUUUGUCACCCGCUCCAGAGGCCCGGCCGGCUCCGGCCCCAUCUCAACCCUUUCGGGGAAGGACGGUCUGCGGACCGGUCUCCCCAACCCAGGUUGACCUCGGAUCAGGUAGGGAUACCCGCUGAACUUAAGCAUAUCAAUAA
rnacentral:misc_RNA from 1 species